GGACUGAUUUGGGUUUAGGAGGGCACUUGUUCUGAAACAGAGGAGAUGAGGUUUUGUGUCUGUGAUGAGGGUUGAUUUCGGGUGACUUGGACCUCGUUUCAAGGGUCACUAUGGUGAGUGGUGGUUGAGGAGGCUGUGUGGGCUGACUUGUUGGUGAGAUAUGGACUCUGGUUCGGGGGCUUGUGGGAGAUGAAGUCAGGUUUGUUUUUGGGUGAUGAGCUGCAACGGGUUCAGUCUAUCAUGGGUUGGAGAGAGAGGCUGGCGGUGCUGAGUGGGUG
rnacentral:lncRNA from 1 species